CUCCUUCUUCUUCUUCCUCUCAUAGAUUUGCGGCAGACAACAUGCCUAGCGGCCCCUUGCUUCCUCCCACAGGUAUUAGCUGCCGUGCAUCAUUCCCUUCCAAACCAACAUGGGAGGCACCUUUUUAUAUACAGUCAAUGAAUGGCACCAAAGAAACCCCACUGAGUCCUUAGCCUGACCUAUGAGUCUGACCCAAUCCCUAACCUGACCCCUAGGCUAAGUGUCACCUAUUUAAUAUAUAUGCCUAUAAGUUCUGCUGAAAAGACUGAAACCCUCACAGACAGUUGUUUGAAUAAUUUCACUGGAACUUAAAUAAACAGAUUUUUCCAGUUUAUUCUGAUCUGUUUAUAUUUGAAGAUAAUGUCACCACUUGUUCUCAGCCCCCCCUUUAGCAUAUCCACGUAAGCAGUAGGCCUAUUAUCAUGUUAUCAUCAUGUGUUUCUGUAGUGGGCAAAUCCACAGUGAUAUAAUUGGCCAGUAAAUCAAAGGGGCCACCCCUACGUCUCCAUGCUCCAGCUUCACCUCUUUACUAAUCUUGAAAAUGAAACACCUUCUUUCCUGAUCCCCUGCACUUUCAAAAACUAAUUUUGCUCUACGCUCUCCUUGAUGACCCCUUAGUUUAUACUGCAUUGCUAUUCCACCAUGGUACACUUAUUUUCCUGUUAGGGUUUUGUUUUAUAGGAAUGCAUUCAUAUGCAUUGUGCAAGACCAUUGCACAUAUGCUGUUAUUUGAUUCAUCUGUACUUCUGUUCCCAUUUACACUAUCAUGGUCUUUAUCAGAGAAUUGCUCCAAACUUGCUUUAAUGUAAUCAAAGUGUCUUUUUUGCUCUUUUGAUAACAUGGUUUCCCCAAAUCUCAACAGUAUUGGAGUGAUCACUGCCCAUUGUGUUCUCAUCCAUGAAGACCCAUUCUCCAGCCUGCAAUCAUCUACUAAUCCAUAUCUAUUAAAUCCAUUAUGUGUGUGUGUGUAAUAAUAAAUGGAGAAAUAGGGAGGAACCAGUAGCUUGGGCAGCAGCGUAAAAUGACAAUGUAGUUUCUUUUUUCUUUCUUUCUUUUUUUACUGUAUUACAUUAUAUAUUUCUUGUAAUGUUACUUUUUGUACUAUUUACAUCCCUGUAUACACCUCUGACCAAAUUAAUUUACUGAAAAAUAAAGUUGUUUUGAUUAUGUCUA